AAACAUGAGAUUACAAGGGAAAGAUUUCCUUGUAAGAGUUGUAUUUGGUAAGGAAGAAGUCAUGAAGAUUACUGGUACUGUAACGGAGGAGGAUAUGAGAGUGAGAGAAGCUAAUGAGGGAGCUCUAGAUAUGAUGAGAACCAUCAAGGGAAUACCAUUAAAGCUUCAAGUGAUCCUUUGCACAUUCAUGGAGGCCCAAUUACAAGAGCUAGAGCCAAAAAG
rnacentral:lncRNA from 1 species